rnacentral:rRNA from 1 species
AGAGACCGGCGCACGGGUGCGUAACGCGUAUGCAAUCUACCUUUCACAGAGGGAUAGCCCAGAGAAAUUUGGAUUAAUACCUCAUAGUAUAUAUGAAUGGCAUCAUUUAUAUAUUAAAGUCACAACGGUGAAAGAUGAGCAUGCGUCCCAUUAGCUAGUUGGUAAGGUAACGGCUUACCAAGGCAACGAUGGGUAGGGGUCCUGAGAGGGAGAUCCCCCACACUGGUACUGAGACACGGACCAGACUCCUACGGGAGGCAGCAGUGAGGAAUAUUGGACAAUGGGCGCAAGCCUGAUCCAGCCAUGCCGCGUGCAGGAUGACGGUCCUAUGGAUUGUAAACUGCUUUUAUACGAGAAGAAACCCUCCGACGUGUCGGAGCUUGACGGUAUCGUAAGAAUAAGGAUCGGCUAACUCCGUGCCAGCAGCCGCGGUAAUACGGAGGAUCCAAGCGUUAUCCGGAAUCAUUGGGUUUAAAGGGUCCGUAGGCGGUCAGGUAAGUCAGUGGUGAAAGCCCAUCGCUCAACGGUGGAACGGCCAUUGAUACUGUCUGACUUGAAUUAUUAGGAAGUAACUAGAAUAUGUAGUGUAGCGGUGAAAUGCUUAGAGAUUACAUGGAAUACCAAUUGCGAAGGCAGGUUACUACUAAUGGAUUGACGCUGAUGGACG